rnacentral:rRNA from 1 species
AGAACGAACGCUGGCGGCAGGCUUAACACAUGCAAGUCGAGCGCCCCGCAAGGGGAGCGGCAGACGGGUGAGUAACGCGUGGGAACAUACCCUCCGGUUCGGAAUAGCUCAGGGAAACUUGGAUUAAUACCGGAUACGGCCUAGCGGCGAAAGAUUCAUCGCCGGAGGAUUGGCCCGCGUUCGAUUAGCUAGUUGGUGAGGUAACGGCUCACCAAGGCGACGAUCGAUAGCUGGUCUGAGAGGAUGAUCAGCCACAUUGGGACUGAGACACGGCCCAAACUCCUACGGGAGGCAGCAGUUAGGAAUUUCCGCAAUGGGCGAAAGCCUGACGGAGCAACGCCGCGUGUGUGAUGAAGGCCUUCGGGUUGUAAAGCACUGUCGGAGGGAAGAAUGAAUGACGGUACCCUCCAAGAAGCCCGGCUAACUACGUGCCAGCAGCCGC